GUGAGUGGCCAGGGUGGGGCUGGGUGGUGCAGGCAGGAGAGCCAUUGAUCUAUUGUGGGCUCUACUCCCUGCCCCAGCCAGAGCACCCCAUUGGCUACCCACAG
ensembl:miRNA Mir3102 microRNA mir-3102